GCCACUCCCUACACACACACACUCACACACACACACACACACACUCGGAUGCGGAAAAACAUGGAUGCUGAGGUGGAGAGGGUGGAGUGUUAGCAGGAUGCUAACUGUAGGGAAAACCGUUAAGACGGCGGCUGGUGUUGUGAGAUACGAUACAGGAGACAUCUCGAGCAACAGUGCACUGGAGUAGGAAAAAAAAAAAAAAAAGAACUAGGUUUUAGUUAGAAAAGUGUACACAUGUGCUGAAGCUGCGAAUCGCUACCCAAAAGAGUCGAUUCUACGACGCCGGGAGUUUGAACUCAAGAGUCGAUUCGAAAGAUUCGACUCCACUAGCAUAUAAUCGGAUGAAUGAUGUCAGGAAUAAAUGAAUGGAUACAACUUGAAUCAGAAUAGGAGUCGAAACCUAGAUUUCUCGAAUCGAACAGUUCUGCUGAUGAUGCACCACAAAUGGACCGAACGGAAGCACUCUGGAAUUUCUCCACUUCCGGCGAGUCAUUCAUCACUCAAGCAGGAUAAUGAGGAAUAGUAGCUGUUUCCAAUUGCCAAACACCACACACACACACACACACACACACACACACACAUUAUAU